GACGAACGCUGGCGGCGUGCUUAACACAUGCAAGUCGAACGGAAAGGCCCUGCUUUUGUGGGGUGCUCGAGUGGCGAACGGGUGAGUAACACGUGAGUAACCUGCCCUUGACUUUGGGAUAACUUCAGGAAACUGGGGCUCAUACCGGAUAGGAGCUCCUGCUGCAUGGUGGGGGUUGGAAAGUUUCGGCGGUUGGGGAUGGACUCGCGGCUUAUCAGCUUGUUGGUGGGGUAGUGGCUUACCAAGGCUUUGACGGGUAGCCGGCCUGAGAGGGUGACCGGCCACAUUGGGAUUGAGAUACGGCACAGACUCCUACGGGAGGCAGCAGUGGGGAAUAGAGCAUAAUGGGCGGAAGCAUGAUGCAGCAACGCAGCGUGCGGGAUGACGGCAAUCGGGUUGUAAUCCGAUGUCGCCUGUGACGAAGCGUGAGUGACGGUAAUGGGUAAAGAAGCACCGGCUAACUACGUG
rnacentral:rRNA from 1 species